ensembl:lncRNA
ACACACCUUGCCCUUGUAGUGAGCUGCAGGAGUGGUGCUCCAAGAGUCAGGCCUUGCCUGGGUGUCGGGGUGUGGGCUUGGCCCUUUGCGGUGCUGAGGGUGUCUGGUUUCCUUUGGAGCUGCUCGCGGAGGAGAAAGGAGAGGAGUCGAGUGGAACUGCGAGUCAAGAGUGAGCAAGAGGAGGAGACGAGGAAGAGCGGAGAGGAGGGCAGAGGAGGGCGCUCUGGGCCAAGAGACCCCCCUCCGGAGCGGCGCGGCGCAAGCUUCAAUCAAGACUGCCGGACCCCUCGUCACCGACUCGGCAGCGGCCGCUGCUUGGGCACAGAGGAGAGAUCAGAAGGACCUCUGCAUCCUGAGAAGCAUAUUCAUCUUGUCCUGAAAUGUCUUGUAUAUACCCUUUUUCCGUUUACUCAGUGUUACCGUUACCCAAGAAAAUGGUUUGUCAAGCUCUAUGUUAUAGUGAGCAACUUUCACACCCAACUCUGCCUGCAUUCAUGGAAACAAAAUUGCACUGCUGAGAUGGUUUUAAUUUUGCCCCAACCACUGGAGUUUUUGCUCUUAUGAGGCUAGUGUGGGGUUUGUCCUUUGCGGUUCCACGUGGCAUAUCAGGGACUGUUUUGUGUCUUUCAAGUAUGAGGUUUUAAUGCAGUGUUGUUGGGGAAGUUUUGUGUUUGGAGUUUGGUAGUACUGCAUAGUUGUUGUGGAUGUUUUAUGGUAGGAGGUAUUGCAGUACUGCAGCAUUGUGGGAGUGUUAUGGUAGGGGUAUGGUGUUACUGCAGUGCUGUAGGAGGAUUUAUUUUGGUUUAUCUUUGGCCUGCAGUAUAGGACAGUGUGGUUAGCAUAUGAAAGUCGGAGAGCUGAAGAGGCCUGUUAGGGGCAGAGUUGAGGUUGCCUGUGCAGUGCAACGGGACUAGGGUGCAGAGUUCGUCUGAGUUGGGUUUUGAAAGCUGCCUGGCUGUGAGGCCUCCCUUGCUUCUCCAGCUUCUGUCCUUGUGCCUUACGGGGCUAAGGCACGGCCUGCGUAACUGAAGUGCUUCAGUGAUGCACUACAGGGUUUAACCUCACUGACUUCAAGAGAACGUGUAACUAAAUUCCAGAAAAUACAGCUAGAACUUCUGUUAAGCAUCUGCUGCACUCUUCUCUGCCCACAAUCAAUUAGGGUAAAAGUCCCCCGUUUACCCUGUCCUGUUUUUACUGUCUGCUCUGUAUCUCAGCUGGACGAAAGCAAAUAAAUAAAUAAAUGAAAU